AUGUACAGUCAUACCAGCCUGAACGCACCCAAUCUCGUUUGGUCUCUGAAGUUAGGCACGGUCUGGCCUCCGCAUUACAUACACCACAGGAACUUUGUGAA
rnacentral:rRNA from 1 species